UACGAGGGGGCGAGCGUUGUUCGGAAUUAUUGGGCGUAAAGGGUGCGUAGGCGGUUCCGCAAGUCCUGUGUGAAAUCUUCGGGCUCAACUCGAAGUCUGCACGGGAAACUGCGGGGCUUGAGUGUGGGAGAGGUGAGUGGAAUUCCCGGUGUAGCGGUGAAAUGCGUAGAUAUUGCUCGGAAGGCCGGAGCCGAAGGGGCCCCACUGGUACGUAACUGACGCUGAGGCACGAAAGCGUGGGGAGCAAACAGG
rnacentral:rRNA from 1 species